rnacentral:lncRNA from 1 species
GGUUUGGGUUUAAAGUAGGUUUGUGUUUAGGGUUUAUAGUUUUGGUUUAGGUUCAAGAGUUUGGGUUUAGGGUUUAGUUUAAGGGUUUAUACGAUAUAAUUUUGGUUUAGGUUCUACCAUUUGGAUUUAGAGUUCUUGUUUAGGGUUUAGUUAUUGGAUUUAGCGUUUACAGUUUAACUUUUAUGGUUUAGGGUUUACAUUGCGGUGAUAGCGUCGCUAAAAUUAACAUUUUUUCCUUUUGGAAUUUCGAAUUUAAAAAAA